rnacentral:rRNA from 1 species
CCUACGGGAGGCAGCAGUGAGGAAUAUUGGUCAAUGGGCGAGAGCCUGAACCAGCCAAGUCGCGUGAAGGAUGACUGUCUUAUGGAUUGUGAACUUCUUUUGUAGGGGAAUAAAGAGGGGCACGUGUGCCUCAGUGAAUGUACCCUACGAAUAAGCAUCGGCUAACUCCGUGCCAGCAGCCGCGGUAAUACGGAGGAUGCGAGCGUUAUCCGGAUUUAUUGGGUUUAAAGGGUGCGUAGGCGGCCUGUUAAGUCAGCGGUGAAAUCUAGGAGCUUAACUCCUAAAUUGCCAUUGAUACUGGCGGGCUUGAGUGUAGAUGAGGUAGGCGGAAUGCGUGGUGUAGCGGUGGAAUGCAUAGAUAUCACGCAGAACUCCGAUUGCGAAGGCAGCUUACUAAGGUACAACUGACGCUGAAGCACGAAAGCGUGGGUAUCAAACAGGAUUAGAUACCCUGGUAGUCCACGCAGUAAACGAUGAGUGCUAGGUGUUAGACCCUUUCCGGGGUUUAGUGCCGUAGCUAACGCAUUAAGCACUCCGCCUGGGGAGUACUACCGCAAGGUUGAAACUCAAAGGAAUUGACGG